rnacentral:lncRNA from 1 species
CACCAACAGAAUCUACAAGUAAUACUGCAGCGUCACCUCCUGCUCGCCCAGCAGGCCUUGGGCGUGAUGCUCCUCUUUUGGAAUCCACACCACGUGUUCCUCAUCAGCCUCGUGUCAAUGGUAAUGUGUCUCAGAAUCAGUCUGAGCAAGCAGAGGACCCUACCCCUGCAGAGACCGAUGAGCAUGAUGAGACCCGUGAGAAGCUCCAAUUGAUCAGGGUCAAGUUUUUGAGGCUUUCACAUAGAUUAGGGCAAACUCCACAUAAUGUUGUUGUUGCUCAGGUUUUGUAUAGGCUUGGAUUAGCAGAGCAGUUGAGGGGGAGAAACGGAAGCCGUGUUGGUGCCUUUAGUUUUGAUCGAGCCAGUUCCAUGGCAGAACAACUUGAGGCAGCUGGACAGGAUCCCCUUGAUUUUUCUUGUACAGUUAUGGUGCUCGGUAAAAGUGGUGUUGGUAAGAGUGCUACGAUUAAUUCUAUUUUUGAUGAACCGAAAAUCUGUACCGAUGCAUUUCAGAUGGGGACAAAGAGGGUUCAGGAGGUUGAGGGUUUUGUUCAGGGAAUUAAGGUUCGGGUGAUUGACACUCCAGGUCUCUUACCAUCAUGGUCUGAUCAACACAAGAAUGAGAAAAUGUUGAAGUCUGUUAAGGCUUUCAUCAAGAAAAAUCCACCGGAUAUCGUAUUAUAUCUUGAUAGGCUGGAUAUGCAAAGCAGAGAUUCUGGUGACACUCCUCUCUUGCGCACCAUCACUGAUGUUUUUGGACCAUCGAUAUGGUUUAAUGCCAUUGUGGGUUUGACUCAUGCCGCUUCUGCUCCACCAGAUGGCCCAAAUGGCACUGCCUCUAGCUAUGACAUGUUUGUAACACAACGUUCCCAUGUCAUUCAGCAGGCCAUUCGCCAAGCAGCUGGAGAUAUGAGGCUCAUGAACCCUGUGUCUUUAGUUGAGAACCACUCUGCUUGCAGGACAAAUCGGGCAGGUCAGAGAGUAUUACCGAAUGGCCAAGUGUGGAAGCCUCAUUUGCUGUUACUCUCAUUUGCGUCCAAGAUUCUAGCAGAAGCAAAUGCUCUUCUGAAAUUACAAGAUAAUAAUACUCCAGGGAGACCAUUUGUAGCUCGAUCCAAGGCUCCACCACUGCCACUUCUCCUCUCAUCGUUUCUGCAAUCAAGACCGCAAGCUAAACUUCCUGAAGAGCAGUAUGGUGAUGAAGAAGAUGAAGAUGAUUUGGACGAAUCAUCAGGUUCUGACGAAGAAUCAGAGUACGACCAGCUUCCUCCUUUUAAGCGUUUGACUAAAGCUGAGAUGGGUAGUCUUAGUAAAUCUCAGAAGAAGGAAUAUCUUGAUGAGAUGGAGUACCGGGAGAAACUAUUUAUGAAGAGGCAGAUGAAAGAGGAAAGAAAGAGACGUAAGAUGAUGAAGAAAUUUGCUGCCGAGAUUAAAGAAUUUGCUAACGGGCAUAGUGAAAAUGUGGAAGAGGAGAGAAGUGAACCUGCUUCUGUUCCAGUUCCCAUGCCAGAUUUGUCUCUACCUGCAUCGUUCGACUCUGACAACCCUACUCACAGGUACCGGUCUCUUGAUUCCUCCAAUCAGUGGCUUGUUAGGCCAGUCCUGGAAACUCAGGGGUGGGAUCAUGAUGUUGGGUAUGAAGGUGUCAAUGCAGAACGACUUUUUGUUGUUAAAGAAAAGAUACCGAUAUCUUUCUCGGGGCAAGUUACAAAGGACAAAAAGGAUGCAAAUGUGCAGCUGGAAAUGGCCAGCUCGGUUAAACAUGGAGAGGGCAGAUCAACCUCCCUAGGUUUUGAGAUGCAAAAUGCUGGGAAGGAAUUGGCUUACACUGUUCGAAGUGAUACCAAAUUUAACAAUUUUAGGAAACACAAAGCUGCAGCUGGUCUCUCUGUAACGCUCUUGGGUGAUUCGGUGUCUGCGGGGCUGAAAGUUGAGGAUAAGUUGAUUGCUAAUAAAAGGUUCAGAAUGGUUAUGUGUGGAGGGGCAAUGACUAGUCGAGGAGAUGUUGCUUAUGGGGGUAGUUUAGAAGCUCAGCUGAGAGAUAAAGAUUAUCCGCUGGGUAGGUUUUUAUCUACUCUAGGACUUUCUGUGAUGGAUUGGCAUGGGGAUCUUGCUAUUGGAGGGAAUAUACAGUCCCAGGUGCCCAUAGGACGUUCAUCUAAUCUAAUAGCUCGUGCUAAUCUGAACAACAGAGGGGCAGGGCAAGUAAGCCUCCGCGUAAAUAGCUCUGAGCAGCUCCAACUUGCACUGGUCGCAUUGGUUCCUCUGUUCAAGAAGCUACUUAGUUAUUAUUCCCCUCAGCAAAUGGAAUAUUGACAAUAAUGGAUCACUUCGGGUUUCAAUUCACUUACUACAAGAACAUCCUAGAUUGAGAGUUGAAAAGGUACUAAUCUAUCUGCUUUUGCUUUCUUAUUCCAUUUGCUGUAAACCCGCUUUAUUGAUUGCUGAUGUGGCUUUUGGUUUUUGAGCAGGAACCUUGGUGUGCCCUUUGGGUUGAAAACUUUAAGAACAAUUUGUUGGAGGAGGCCUCUGUUUUCUUUACAUAGCCAGAACACUUGUUCGUUCCUUGUCUAAUUUAAGCAUAGUUGUGGUUUUAUUCUCUUUCCAAAACCUUUGUAUGGCUUUCUGUUCAUGUCUACCUCUGGAUUUUUCAUAAAGCUUGUUAAAAUUAUGCUGCAAUCUACUUGUUGAUUUUAAGACACCCAUCAUCACCCUCUGAGCUAGCCGUAAUUCAAGGCUUUUAAAGGGAGUUUUGUAGGGGUCCUUAUCAUCUGCUAAACGUCUUUUAAUGUUGUCAAGCAUCUAUUGUAAGCUGCUUUGGAAAGUCAAAGUUGCUGGUAACUUUUGUUGCGCCAGUUCGUAUUAUGCGUCUUUCCCUCAAAUCAAAAGAUUCUGUUGUUGAUACUGUUACUGCGAAUCUCACAUUGUCACGUUGAGUCCCACCAAAUCCAUUGGUUUGGUGCUCAUGCAAUCCAUCUGCGAGACUUCUGUUACACAAUUUGCUCUUGUUAGCAGCGAGAUGUGGUAGCUUUGGUCUUGUUGUCAUUAUAAAAGCUUCUGUGGUGGAAAUACCGUUUGGAUUUGCCAGUUCUUAACGGAAGAGAUUAUCUAUGUGAAAGUUGUCACUGCAUGUUUUGACUUGUCUAAUAUUGUCGAGUAGGAAGCUUUUAAUGGGAGAAGAUGGUAGACAAGAAGUUUACAGUGUUGGGCUGCAAGAGUAUGAAGUCUCAGAUGUUCAAAUUGUAAGGUACUUAUCGAGAAAGGGAACGCUGAAAGGAGCACAGGGUCAACUGGAGCAAAUGGGGAGUCAUCUAGAUCACAUGCUAUCUUACAACUUGUUGGAAAGAAACACGUUUUGAGGUAAAAGAAACCAGACGUAAAAAUGAUGAUGCCAAUGAAUUGCCUGGGAAAGUUGUUGGGAAGAGUACUUUCAUUGAUCUUGCUGGCAGUGAAAGAGGUGCAGACACCACAGACAAUGACCGCCAGACAAGGUGAGAAUGCUCUCUAGACCUCGUGGCUGAGUACUGAUGUGGGACCCACAAAUGACGCUGGAGAUGAUGUCAUGGCACGCUGGCAAUGAUCAGCGUUAUCUUUCAAACCUUCUGAUGCAGGUUCUUUGCUUUCCCUGAGUCUUUCUUUCCAUUACACUCUUCCAAUAACUUGCAUGCCUUGUAGGUGGUAAUUGCCAAUGUUUUGUUAGAGCUUUGGUUCGCUGAAUGCUGAGUAUGAAUGUAAGCUUGGAAUCUUUUUGACCAUCCUUGUGAAUUGUGCUUAUCUUGCUAGAAUUUGUUUCAGGGCAUGUUAGUAAUUUAUCUCUUUCGAUUGGUAAUUUUCUUAGCUAUAGAAACUUUACUGGCUGGCUGCUUUGUGUUUGUUUUUGCUGUAUCUGCCACGGUUAUGGAGCUCAGACUGCUGGAGAGAAUCAAAAGCUUUUCAAACUAAUGUGAAAUCUGAAUCUCAACGGAGAGUACUCUGAAUCAUAUAUACACCAUCAGCAGCUAUGCCUUCUUCGGAAGGAUUUUUUUUCCACCCGAGUUCAGAGAUGAUUUUGGAGCUUGUUUGAUGGGAUCUUCAUGCAGUGGAUGACUCAGAGCUUCUCUCUGAGGUACGUUUGGAAGGACAACUAGACAUAGAUCAUUCAUAGUUAUGUUGAUUGGUAUGUUCUGUAGAAACUAUAGCCUCUCUUGAAACUAAUUCUCAGCUUCUCUUAACUUCAGACCGUGAAGAGAAAGUGUCACCACCUCGUGGGAAAGGGUUGCGGGAAGAAAAACCAGCCAGACCACAAAACUUGUCUAAGAGAGACGUCAGGUCGUCAGAUAUCCCCUACCUUUACAAACUUUAGGCAGACACAAGUAAGCCAUACAUAUAUAUAUAUUAUAUAUAUAACCGACCCUUCACUUGAUGAAAACAUCGAUGCACUGUUUGAGGUAAAAUUUAACCAAUUUAGUAAGCCAUACAUAUAUAUAUAUAUAUAUAAAACAAUCACGUUUGUAAUAGCUAAUAUAAAAUAUUUGCGACUGACAAUAAUAGAAAAGACAGGUGAGUAACUCCAAGAAAGAAGAAAACAAGUAUCUGUCUCGUGUAGUGAUGGCAAAAAGGCCAACAAGAUUUAGCAGCCCACCUAAAAGGCCUUGGCCCACUUCAUGUUUCCACCGUACGAUGCUUAAACCCAAAACGGAUAUCCACCGUCCCUGGAAAGCUCUUAUCUCCCUCCUCCUCCACCUUCCCCGUCAGAAGUUUGCCUCUCUCCCUCUCUCUCUCUAAACGAGGUUAGCUUUCUCUUUUUUUUUGUAUAAGCUUUUAGGGGUUUCACUUUCAAUGAUAGAGACGAGUAUUCUAGAGUUUCGUUUCUGCUCUAAUUUUAUCGUUAGGGUUAAGCCUUUUUAGUCUGAUUGAUUCGUGAUUUCGUUUUGUUUAUGGUUGUAAGUAGGUAUGGAAGAGAAGAAGCUUGCAGACGAUGGAAACAGCGAUGAGCAAGUAGAGAAAAUUGAAUUGGUGGUUUCUGAUGUUGAUGCGAGGGAUACCGAAGAUGAGGAAGCUAUUGACAGUUCAAAGCCUGAAUCUCUCCAACCCGAUGAUUUACCUUCAGAGGAAGUGAAAGAUCCAAAGGAGGUUAAUGGAGAGAGCCAUGGUGAGGCAAACCUGCAACAUAUAACUACGGGAGAGGCUGUACCAGGUUUUGUGACUUCCCGAAUGAAUGGUGAUGAAGGGGAAGCAGGUGCAGGGAAUGUCAGCGAGACAUCCACACAUUCUUUUUCUGAAAAUGGAACUGUCUUUCUUGAGAAGAAACAGCUGGUGGCUGAAGUGAUCGAGGAAACAACAAAUGAUGGUAUUGAAGAGGAAAACAAGGAGGAAACUGUUGAUGUAUCUGGGGCACAAAGAAAUGGUGAACGUGCUUCAGGUGAGAGAUCUUUCAAUGAUAGUAUUCAAGUAGCUUCUGCUGGGACCUCAUCUCCGUUGGAGAAAUCUAGUUCUGAGGAAAAUGGAGAGACUGAAGGUCGCAUCAGUAGAGAUCAUGAUACAGUUCAAAAUGGAGGACUUGGUGUUGAACAUACUUCUCUACCUAAUAAGGAUUUUGAGAAGCAGCAAGGCAGCAGAGUGAAUAUUAUGAGUCCAGAGAUUCAGGAAAGAAAAUCUGAGGUAGCAAUUUCUGUUUCCCCAACAGAGUCUACAAGUCCUGCUCGCCCAGCAGGCCUUGGGCGUGAUGCUCCUCUUUUGGAAUCCACACCACGUGUUCUUCAUCAGCCUCGUGUCAAUGGUAAUGUGUCUCAGAAUCAGUCUGAGCAAGCAGAGGACCCUACCCCUGCAGAGACCGAUGAGCAUGAUGAGACCCGUGAGAAGCUCCAAUUGAUCAGGG